UGACAACACUUUGAUGUGAAAAUGAACUCCAGUGAAUCAUUCGACAGGAUCUGUCUCCAGAGAGGAAUGAAACAAAAUAAUUAACUUGUCAGAGCAGGAGGAAAACUUUCUCCAUCUUUCCUUCACUCUCUCUGCUCCAACAUUCAUCUGUUGUCAUCUGAGCUUUGCUGUUCUCCACGUAGACUCCACUUGCAAAACAAUUGAAUCCUCCCAAGUUCAAAUAAUUCAUCCAAACUUCAGAAACAAACGGGUGCUUUCUUCAUCCAUAUUAAGAUGUGGCGAGGCAGCUCCCUCACCUGGACCUCUUUGAUCCUCUGUAGCUUAACAAUGGGAUGUUUCGGAUUCAUUCUGAU